rnacentral:rRNA from 1 species
UACGAAGGGGGCUAGCGUUGCUCGGAAUGACUGGGCGUAAAGGGCUCGUAGGCGGUCUGUUGCGUCGGUAGUGAAAACUCAGGGCUUAACCCUGAGCCUGCUUCCGAUACGGGCAGACUAGAGGUAUGCAGGGGAGAACGGAAUUCCUGGUGUAGCGGUGAAAUGCGCAGAUAUCAGGAGGAACACCGGUGGCGAAGGCGGUUCUCUGGGCAUUACCUGACGCUGAGGAGCGAAAGUGUGGGGAGCGAACAGG